CAACCUUGGAGGACAGCAGUUCUGUGUGGAGCUUUUCACUGGGUCUCCAUACUUUGGCACAUGGGGCGACAAUGAGUGCAGUGCCAUACGUCACUUUGUGUGCUACAAUGGUACAGUGAAUGGGAGCGCAACCUUUGUUAAGCCCAACAGCCAAAAGAACUGGACUGAAGCCCAGAGAUUCUGCAGGGAGAAUUAUGUAGACCUGGCCAGUGUGAGAAACCAGACAGAAAAUGACCUCAUCGAGAACUUGGCAGGUUCGGACUUUGUGUGGAUUGGUCUUCACCGGGAAAAUCUGUGGUCUGAUGGCAGCACUUCACUCUUUCGACACUGGAGCACCGGGCA